rnacentral:rRNA from 1 species
UGGGGAAUCUUGGACAAUGGGCGAAAGCCUGAUCCAGCCAUGCCGCGUGAGUGACGAAGGCCUUAGGGUUGUAAAACUCUUUCGUCGGGGACGAUAAUGACGGUACCCGAAGAAGAAGCUCCGGCUAACUUCGUGCCAGCAGCCGCGGUAAUACGAAGGGAGCUAGCGUUGUUCGGAAUCACUGGGCGUAAAGCGCACGUAGGCGGAUAGUUAAGUCAGGGGUGAAAUCCUGGGGCUCAACCCCAGAACUGCCUUUGAUACUGGCUGUCUCGAGGUCGAGAGAGGUUGGUGGAAUUCCUAGUGUAGAGGUGAAAUUCGUAGAUAUUAGGAAGAACACCAGUGGCGAAGGCGGCCAACUGGCUCGAUACUGACGCUGAGGUGCGAAAGCGUGGGGAGCAAACAGGAUUAGAUACCCCCGUAGUCCCUG